GGCAGUGUGGCAUAGUGGAAAAGGCAUUCCUCUUGAAACGGAAACCCUGGCUUCAACUCCCAGCUCUGCCA
rnacentral:tRNA from 1 species